GGGGUGGGGCCCGCGCGUAUAAAGGGGGCCCAGGCGGGCUGGGCGUUCCACAGGCCAAGUGCGCUGUGCUCGAGGGGUGCCAGCCAGGUCUGAUCCAGCGAGCGAGCCAGCAGGCAUCGAGGGGGCGCGGCUGCCUGCCGAACGAGACAGACGAACCCGACGCAGGAGAGUCCACCACCGGACAGCCAGCACAUCCACGAUGGAGCGUCUUGUCGCCCGUGGGACCUUCCCAGUACUUGUGCGCACCAGCGCCUGCCGCAGCCUCUUCGGGCCGGUGGACCACGAGGAGUUGAGCCGCGAGCUGCAGGCCCGCCUGGCCGAGCUGAACGCCGAGGACCAGAACCGCUGGGAUUACGACUUCCAGCAGGACAUGCCGCUGCGGGGCCCAGGACGCCUGCAGUGGACCGAAGUGGACAGCGACUCGGUGCCCGCGUUCUACCGCGAGACGGUGCAGGUGGGGCGCUGCCGCCUGCUGCUGGCGCCGCGGCCCGUCGCGGUCGCGGUGGCUGUCAGCCCGCCCCUCGAGCCGGCCGCUGAGUCCCUCGACGGCCUCGAGGAGGCGCCGGAGCAGCUGCCUAAUGUCCCGGUCCCGGCCCCGCCGUCCACCCCGCCCCCAGCCCCGGUCCUGGCUCCAGCCCCGGCCCCGGCUCCGGUUGCGGCUCCGGUCGCGGUCGCGGUCCUGGCCCCGGCCCCGGUCCUGGCCCCGGUCCCGGCCCCGGCCCCGGCCCCGGCCCCGGCUCCGGCCUUCGGCCCGGCCCGGGCCUCCAGCUCCCGUGGCCCCGGCGCCCCAGCCCCGGCCCAGUCGUGCCGGCCCCGGCCCCGGCCCCGGCCCAGGACGCGGCGCCUCAAGAGAGCGCCGAGCAGGGCGCGAACCAGGGGCAGCGCGGCCAGGAGCCUCUCGCUGACCAGCUGCACUCGGGGAUUUCGGGACGUCCCGCGGCCGGCACCGCGGCCGCCAGCGCCAACGGCGCGGCGAUCAAGAAGCUGUCCGGGCCUCUGAUCUCCGAUUUCUUCGCCAAGCGCAAGAGAUCAGCGCCUGAGAAGUCGUCGGGCGAUGUCCCCGCGCCGUGUCCCGCUCCCAGCGCCGCCCCUGGAGUGGGCUCGGUGGAGCAGACCCCGCGCAAGAGGCUGCGGUGAGCGAAUUUAGAGCCCAAAGAGCCCCGAGGGAACCUGCCGGGGCAGCGGACGUUGGAAGGGCGCUGGGCCUCGGCUGGGACCGUUCAUGUAGCAGCAACCGGCGGCGGCUGCCGCAGAGCAGCGUUCGGUUUUGUGUUUAAAUUUUGAAAACUGUGCAAUGUAUUAAUAACGUCUUUUUAUAUCUAAAUGUAUUCUGCACGAGAAGGUACACUGGUCCCAAGGUGUAAAGCUUUAAGAGUCAUUUAUAUAAAAUGUUUAAUCUCUGCUGAAACUCAGUGCAAAAAAAAAGAAAAAAGAAAAAAAAAAAGGAAAAAAUAAAAAAACCAUGUAUAUUUGUACAAAAAGUUUUUAAAGUUAUACUAACUUAUAUUUUCUAUUUAUGUCCAGGCGUGGACCGCUCUGCCACGCACUAGCUUGGUUAUUGGUUAUGCCAAAGGCACCAUCCAUCUCCCACAUCCGGUUAUUGACAAGUGUAACUUUAUUUUCAUCGCGGACUCUGGGGAAAGGGGUCACUCACAAGCUGUAGCUGCCAUACAUGCCCAUCUAGCUUGCAGUCUCUUCGCGCUUUCGCUCGCUCUCUUAUUAUUACUGUGUUUAUCUUAAACUUGAAGACAAAUCUGUUAAAAUGGUUCCUGAGCCGUCUGUACCACUGCCCCGGCCCCUCGUCCGCCGGGUUCUAAAUAAAGAGGCCGAAAAAUGCUGCAA